CGACGCAGGAGUGAAGUGAAAGUAAUAAAUAAGUGUAGUGAAUUCUGUGUAACCCUGGAUUAAGGGUUCCUUCUACCAGGAAGCUCUAACAGUUACACUGAAGCUCUGCUAUUAACCUGACUGCUACCCCACCGGCGAAGUGUCUAUCAACUUCGUACCGUCUACCCAAGCCACGCUGCACACUGCUGUCGAGUAGCCUACGCACAAGCACUGAGCCGCCGCACCGCAGCGCCGCCCGAGCAUCGUCGAUUGACCGACGCUUCUGCGAGCCCUCUGCGAGCCCGUGUCUGCCCCGGCGUCUGACCAAGGCCAGUUGUCUUCCUUCGGACAGUCAACGUAUCUUCAUGCGUAUGCGAUUCUCAAUUAACUACCCUGUGAUUGUAGCGCGUUACCUACGGCCGCUCCCGAGUGAGUUAUCUAUUAUGUUUAUUUAGUUCCACAAUAAGACACAACCUAUUUGUAAGAUUGUUUGACUAUAAUUAUAAGUAUCAAUCCGU